rnacentral:rRNA from 1 species
ACGUAGGGUGCGAGCGUUAAUCGGAAUUACUGGGCGUAAAGCGUGCGCAGGCGGUUUGGUAAGACAGAUGUGAAAUCCCCGGGCUUAACCUGGGAACUGCGUUUGUGACUGCCAGACUUGAGUGCAGUAGAGGGGGGUGGAAUUUCAAGUGUAGCAGUGAAAUGCGUAGAGAUGUGGAGGAAUACCGAUGGCGAAGGCAGCCCCCUGGGUCGACACUGACGCUCAUGCACGAAAGCGUGGGGAGCAAACGG